AAGGAUUAAAUGAAAAAAAAUCAAAAAAUCAAAAAAACAAGGGUCAUCUGACCUCCUUCAUUAAUUGAGGUGGCAGAUCAGAUGGCCAAAAGUGCGUAUUCCACAUGGUCACUAGUCAAAGGCGUUGUAGGCAUGGUAAUCAGUUUGGACGCGUAAGAUUAAAAUAUUUCAAAUGGAUCAGAUGGCCUGGAUUGAUCCAGCGCACCACCGGAGCCCUAGCUCCGGUCAUCUUCUC
rnacentral:lncRNA from 1 species